GGGGGAUAAAUUAAUAAAUUAAUUUUAAUAAAAAAAUUUUUAAAUAUAUUUAAUGGGGGUUAAAGUAUAUUUAUAGAAAAAAUUAAUUAAUUUAUAGUAAAUUAGUAUAGUGAGGGAAAUUUGAAAUAAAUGAAAAAAAAAUUAAUAAUAAGUAGUUUUAUUUUAAUGUAUCUUGUGUAUCAGAGUUUAUUAAUAAAUAUUUUUAUUUAAAAAAUUCUCGAAUUUAAAAGAGAUAAUUAAUUAAUAAAGUUAUUGUGGCAUAAAUAUUUUUAAUAAUUAAUUUGAAAUGAAAUGUUAAUCGUUUUUAAAUAUAUCUAGUUUUUUUAGAAAAAAAUUUAAUUUUAAGUUUUGUAAAAAAAAAAUUAAUUAAUUAAUUUUUUUUUUUACAAAACUUUAUAUUUUAAGGGAUAAGCUUUAAAUUAAAUUUAUAUAAAGUUUAUUAGUUUUAAUUGAAAUUUAUAUAAUUUAUAUUGUUAAAUAAUUUUAUUUUAUUAUAAAUAAUUUCAUUGAAAAUAAAAUUUAAUUAAAAAAUUUAUAUUUUUAUAAAAAAAAAUUUUUUAAUUAAUAAAAGAUAAAUAUAAUGAUAAAAUUAGUAUAUAAAUAUUUUAUAAAAUUAUUUUUAUAAAAAUUAAUUAAAAGGAAUUCGGCAAAAUUUUAUAUUCACUUGUUUAUCAAAAACAUGUCUUUUUGUAAAUAAUAUAAAGUCUAAUCUGCCCACUGAUUUUAAUUAAAGGGCUGCAGUAAUUUGACUGUACAAAGGUAGCAUAAUCAAUAGUCAUUUAAUUGGUGACUUGUAUGAAAGAUUGGAUGAAAUAUAAACUGUCUCUUAUUUAUAUAUAUAGAAUUUAAUUUUUUUAUUAAAAAGUUAAAAUAAUUUAAAAAGACGAGAAGACCCUAUAGAGUUUUAUAAAUAAUUUAAUUAAGAUUAUAUUUAAAUAUAGAAAUUAAAAUUGAUUUAUUUAUUUUGUUGGGGUGACAAAAAAAUAAAUUUAACUUUUUUUUUUAUUGAAACAUAUAUAAGUGAUUAAAUGAUCCAAUUUUAUUGAUUAUAAGAAAAAAUUACCUUAGGGAUAACAGCGUAAUUUUUUUUUUUAGUUCAAAUAAAAAAAAAAGUUUGCGACCUCGAUGUUGGAUUAAGAUAAAAUUUAAAUGCAGAAGUUUAAAAUUUUUGAUCUGUUCGAUCAUUAAAAUCUUACAUGAUCUGAGUUCAAACCGGUGUAAGCCAGGUUGGUUUCUAUCUUUUAAAAAAUAAAAUAUUUUAGUACGAAAGGAUUAAAUAUUUAAAUUAAAUUUAUAUUUUGAAUAUUAUUAAAAAUUUAUAAAAUAAUUAAUUUUUAUUUAUUAUAUAUAUAUAUAUAUAUAUAUAUAUAUA
rnacentral:rRNA from 1 species